GUCUUAACUGCAUAGAUGUCCUCUAAAGGUCAGAAAAAUGGCCAUUUGGAAAGGUAAAAUGCUCUAUUUAAGGCUGUAUCACUUUUCUUUACAUAUUUUUGGUUGUGAAGUUUGUUUUCUGAAGAUUUCAUAGUCAUCUUAGCAUUUCCCACACUUAGCUUCAUGAAAGAGCCCCACGGCCUGUAAUUAAUGAGAAAUGCUAUAAAUGUCACCACUUCGCUCAUGAAACAGUUCUAUUUUUACUUGAUUCUUGACAUUCAGAUUUGUUAGCAUGCUGACUUGUGUUUUACAACUUUUCUUGUUUUACAGCUAACACAGCAUCUCAACUGUGCAGGCUAAAUGGCAAAUGCGUUUUCACAGAUUGGACAAAAGCAACUUAGAAAAAGAUUCUCUCUGGUCAAUCUCAUUUGCUUUGUUAUCAGAUUACUGGGACUAUUUUAGUCACUUUGACUGUAACUUUAAGUGUAUCCCUCUUCUGGUGUUGCAGUUGUUGGAAAUCUGUGACAGAAAUCAGACCAAUUCUUCCCAGUUUUGGACAUGAGCAGAGCAGUGCCUUCCUCUUGCAGAUAACUGGAAGAGAAAGAUUGCAUUUGUACUUGAAAUUGUGGCUGAGACAGCUACAUUAGCAACUCACCUGAAAUAAAGAUAUAAUCAAUAACU